rnacentral:snoRNA from 1 species
UUGCAGCCAGUUAAGCCGACUGUGCUUUUUUCCCCAUGGGGGCCCGGUGCGCAGCGGCUGCAAACAGCAGCCUCCUCGGUAGUGUAUGCAGCCUGUUGCCUGUGUGGGUUGCCCUAAGGGACCUUGGAGACAGCC